rnacentral:lncRNA from 1 species
CUUACAUUGAAGAGAGGAUUCCUUGUUUUGACUACGUGUGUUUCUGCUGUCUUAGGCAGCCAACGUAUUGGUUUACAUGGAUCUGGAGGAUUAUGCACAUUAGUGUUGAGUUUCAUUGCAGGGACAAAAUGGUCCCAAGAAAAGAUGAAAGUCCAAAAGAUUAUUACAAAUGUAUGGGAUAUUUUUCAACCACUUCUUUUUGGUUUAGUUGGAGCAGAAGUAUCUGUUUCAUCGCUUGAAUCAAAUAUUGUUGAAAUACAAAAAUUAGCCAGGUGUGGUAGUGCGUGCCUGUAACCCCAGCUACUCAGGAGGCUGAGGCAGGAG